rnacentral:lncRNA from 1 species
UUCAAUUUUAAACCCACCCAUGGCCAAAUAGGGAUGAAAGAACUGGCCAAUUGGUCGAAAAAUGCUACCAAAGCCCGGCGCCGCCGCCGCAGAAGAUUUCACAAACCGCCUCCGAUGAGGCACUUAUAGUAACCUAUUUUGCGUAAUUUUCCACCAUUGUGAUCACUGUUUCCUUCUCUACAAGUUAACCGGAGCAAAACGCCCAACCGCAACGUGAGCUGGAGGAGCCACCGCACUAGAGAGCUUCGCCGCCGGUGAGUUUCAGUUUUCUACAUUUUUUGG